GUGGUUUAAUUCGAUGCAACGCGAAGAACCUUACCUACUCUUGACAUCCAGAGAAUUCGCUAGAGAUAGCUUAGUGCCUUCGGGAACUCUGAGACAGGUGCUGCAUGGCUGUCGUCAGCUCGUGUUGUGAAAUGUUGGGUUAAGUCCCGCAACGAGCGCAACCCUUAUCCUUGUUUGCCAGCACGUAAUGGUGGGAACUCCAGGGAGACUGCCGGUGAUAAACCGGAGGAAGGUGGGGACGACGUCAAGUCAUCAUGGCCCUUACGAGUAGGGCUACACACGUGCUACAAUGGCGCAUACAGAGGGCUGCAAGCUAGCGAUAGUAAGCGAAUCCCAAAAAGUGCGUCGUAGUCCGGAUUGGAGUCUGCAACUCGACUCCAUGAAGUCGGAAUCGCUAGUAAUCGUAGAUCAGAAUGCUACGGUGAAUACGUUCCCGGGCCUUGUACACACCGCCCGUCACACCAUGGGAGUGGGCUGCAAAAGAAGUGGGUAGUUUAACCUUCGGGAGGACGCUCACCACUUUGUGGUUCAUGACUGGGGUGAAGUCGUAACAAGGUAGCCCUAGGGGAACCUGGGGCUGGAUCACCUCCUUA
rnacentral:rRNA from 1 species